UACGUAGGGUGCAAGCGUUGUCCGGAAUUAUUGGGCGUAAAGAGCUCGUAGGCGGUUUGUCGCGUCGAAUGUGAAAACCCGGGGCUCAACCCCGGGCCUGCAUUCGAUGCGGGCAGACUAGAGUUCGGUAGGGGAGUCUGGAAUUCCUGGUGUAGCGGUGAAAUGCGCAGAUAUCAGGAGGAACACCGGUGGCGAAGGCGGGACUCUGGGCCGAUACUGACGCUGAGGAGCGAAAGCGUGGGGAGCAAACAGG
rnacentral:rRNA from 1 species